rnacentral:sRNA from 1 species
CCGAGUGCCGCUCACGCCCGGU